GAUGAACGCUGGCGGCGUGCUUAACACAUGCAAGUCGAACGAAGCACCUUAUUCUGAUUUCCUAUUUGACUGAGCGGCGGACGGGUGAGUAACGCGUGGGUAACCUGCCUGAUACAGGGGGAUAACAGUUAGAAAUGACCGCUAAUACCGCAUAAGACCACAGCACCGCAUGGUGCAGGGGUAUAAACUCCGGUGGUAUGAGAUGGACCGGCGUCUGAUUAGUUAGUUGGUGGGGUAACGGCCUACCAAGGCGACGAUCAGUAGCCGACCUGAGAGGGUGACCGGCCACAUUGGGACUGAGACACGGCCCAAACUCCUACGGGAGGCAGCAGUGGGGAAUAUUGCACAAUGGGGGAAACCCUGAUGCAGCGACGCCGCGUGAGCGAAGAAGUAUUUCGGUAUGUAAAGCUCUAUCAGCAGGGAAGAAAAUGACGGUACCUGACUAAGAAGCCCCGGCUAACUACGUGCCAGCAGCCGCCGUAA
rnacentral:rRNA from 1 species